rnacentral:rRNA from 1 species
ACGGGAGGCAGCAGUGGGGAAUAUUGCACAAUGGGCGCAAGCCUGAUGCGGCGAUGCCGCGUGAGGGAAGCAGGUUUUCGGAUUGUAAACCUCUGUCAUCGGGGACGAUAAUGACUGUACCCGAGAAGGAAGCUCCGGCUAACUACGUGCCCGCAGCCGCGGUAAUCCGUAGGGAGCGCGCGUUAUCCGGAAUUACUGGGUGUAAAGGGAGUGUAGGCGGGACUGUAAGUCAGAUGUGAAAUAUGCCGGCUCAACUGGCAGACUGCAUUUGAAACUGCGGAUCUUGAGUGAAGUAGAGGUAAGCGGAAUUCCUAGUGUAGCGGUGAAAUGCGUAGAUAUUAGGAGGAACAUCAGUGGCGAAGGCGGCUUACUGGGCUUUAACUGACGCUGAGGCCCGAAAGCGUGGGGAGCAAACAGGAUUAGAUACCCUGGUA